rnacentral:sRNA from 1 species
GGCAGAAUAUAUAAACUUAAGACGACCAAAUGUCUGGGCAUUUCUCUCUUGUCAUUUUGGGCGCUUUUGUCCUGCUCAGGUGUCCAGUUUGUACAAGAUUUGAGGAACUUCGUGUCCACCAUGCAGACCUCCAUCUUAAGUCUACUUGUCAUCGCCUGCGUCAUUGCCAUGUGCCUGGCAUCCGGUGGCCACGGCCCUGUGAGUUCUUAUUGCCCAAGAAAAGGAGGUAAC